AAAGUCGUAACAAGGUAACCGUAGGUGAACCUGCGGUUGGAUCAUUAUUGAAAACAACCUAAAAGAGUGUGACCGAAAGGUCCCUCUUUUAAACCCACACACUGUGAACCGUUUAUUGUCUCUUGGUGGGUUACUAUUAAAAGUGCUUUAACCGGCGCUUUGCCCACCAGUAUUUAAACACCAAAUCUUAUUAAACCAAGUCUCAUGAAUUUUUAUUACAAUAAUAAGAAAACAACUUUUGACAACGGAUCUCUUGGCUCUC
rnacentral:misc_RNA from 1 species